AGCGAACGCUGGCGGCAGGCCUAAUACAUGCAAGUCGAGCGCACCUUCGGGUGAGCGGCGGACGGGUGAGUAACGCGUGGGAACGUGCCCUUUGGUACGGGAUAACUGAGGGAAACUUCAGCUAAUACCGUAUGUGCCCUACGGGGGAAAGAUUUAUCGCCAUUGGAGCGGCCCGCGUUGGAUUAGCUAGUUGGUGAGGUAAAGGCUCACCAAGGCUACGAUCCAUAGCUGGUCUGAGAGGAUGAUCAGCCACACUGGGACUGAGACACGGCCCAGACUCCUACGGGAGGCAGCAGUAGGGAAUCUUGCGCAAUGGGCGAAAGCCUGACGCAGCCAUGCCGCGUGAAUGAUGAAGGUCUUAGGAUUGUAAAAUUCUUUCACCGGGGAAGAUAAUGACGGUACCCGGAGAAGAAGCCCCGGCUAACUUCGUGCCAGCCGCCGCUGUAACAC
rnacentral:rRNA from 1 species